UACGUAGGGGGCAAGCGUUGUCCGGAUUUAUUGGGCGUAAAGAGCGUGUAGGCGGCCAGACAGGUCCGUUGUGAAAACUCGAGGCUCAACCUCGAGACGUCGGCGGAAACCAUCUGGCUAGAGUCCGGAAGAGGAGAGUGGAAUUCCUGGUGUAGCGGUGAAAUGCGCAGAUAUCAGGAAGAACACCAAUGGCGAAGGCAGCUCUCUGGGACGGUACUGACGCUGAGACGCGAAAGCGUGGGGAGCGAACAGG
rnacentral:rRNA from 1 species